UCAACCCUUCCAAAUUGCUCCCCAAAUCGAACCCUAAGCAAAUCGAAUCUCACCCCGAGGCCCCCUUCCCCUUCCUCGGCGGCGCCGCCGCCCAGCCACCUGACAUGAGCGCCCUAGCAACCUCCUCAUCCACCGGCGAGCACCCUUCACCGCUUCCUCCUUGACCUCUGCCACAUCGAGUGUCGGCUUCCUUCCCCGACCCAUGUCGCCGCUCCCAGACAACCUCCGCCGCGCCCCCAACGCUGCCUCCCGACACUUUCUCUCCGGGCAGCACCGCGGCCAGCUCCCCCGCCAUCGUCUACUUGCGCGCUUCCUCAAGCAGCGCCGACUCAUCCAGGAGCUCCUCCCGUCAGCAGCACCUCCUCCUCUAGGAGCCUCCUCUACGAACCAGUCCUCCACCAAAUUGGUACGUUCAUGCUUGCAGUGAAUACAUGAGGAGCUGAUGGUUUCUUCUAUCUAUUGGCAGUCUAUCUGUACAUUUACUUGGUGGGGAGUACUCUGUACUCAGCCGUAUGGUUUAUCUUUUGCUUAUGGAUCUGCAAAAACUGGUAUUCCUAGAUUCUUGUAUCUUGAAUUAAUGAAAAAGCAGGGCCGUAUUACGCCAGUUCGCAAAAAAAAUUGUACUUUCAUCUGUAGGGCUAUGUCAAAAUGUGUCAUUUUAGCUUGGAUGCAAUAUAUAAUGUGCAAAAUUCCAGUCACACUGUUUUACUUUUCCCCUGUAGUUUAGUUACAUUUUGGAAUAUACAGGUGCAAUAAUUUUGCUCUACAAUAAGACUGUUGUUUUGUUGCUGAUAAUUAGAACGUUUUGGAUGCUCGUUGUUUAUUUUCUGCAUACAAGUUUGGUGGUAGUGCUGGUUUGUGUGGCUUAGUUUCUGAUGUUUAGAGGGUACCCCUAAAGGGGGACUAACCUGAUACAUGUGGUUGUGUUCUAUUAGUUUUUAGUAAUGGAAAUUGGAGCUAUGCUCCUACGUAGGAUUUUUUUUGGAAAAAUGGUUCAUGAGGCUAGCUGAGUAUUGUGCUCUUUUGUUCUGUAUGUAAUCCUGACAAACAGUUCUCUAAUUUUCACUUGGUGCUUUCACUGAAAUAAACUUUUCAGUUUGUUUGUUCUAUGAGCAGCGUGCAUCUUCUUUGUCCUCUCCACCAAGCAGUGUCGACUACGCCAUCUCCCCCCAGUAAUUGAAACAGAGCUGUUGGUCUGCCUGCCAUAGAACCAUUUAUGAAGAUCAUUGGAGUUGCCUUCUCAUGUAUUCCUAUGCAUAGUCUAGUACAUAUUUCCGUGCGUAAAAAGUUGUUGGUCUUUCUGUAGAUGCACACUAAAAAAAAAAGGGCAACCUGGUGCAUGUAGCUCCCGCUUGCGCAGGGUCCAGGGAAGGGUCCGACCACUUUGGGUCUAUAGUACGCAGCCUUUCCCUACAUUUCUGUAAGAGGCUGUUUCCAGGACUUGAACCCAUGACCUCAUGGUCACAAGGCAGCAGCUUUACCACUGCGCCACUGAAAGUUGAAAAUUAUGCUAGUAGAAAUAGGUGUUCUGGUAUAUCUGACUACUUGCUUUGGAAUAGUUAUUUCUUGAUAUUAUCUGAUCCCAUCUCAUGUAUAUUUCUAGAAAAAGCUUUAUGAACUGAGUUCACUACAACUUGAAGUCUUGUGCAUGGAAGGGAAUUGAGAUAUUUUCUCAUUCUGUACUAGUUAAAAUGUAUCUGUUGAUAUUCUACUCAUUUUGGUUCAUGCCGCUCUUAAUUCUUCUUGUAUGAGCUCUUAUAGUGUUGUAAGGUUGAAGGCUCAAGAUACUACACUUCAGUACACACAUGUUCAUCUUUACUUGAAAUCUAAUUUGCAUGUUGGUUGGUGUUCUUCAAGAAUCAGGGUACUAAUUUGUGAUAUGAUUGGUGAAAGAGGUUGUGGAUGUCACUUCCUUUUUCUUGAACGGUGUCCCUAUUUUGUCCUAUGUACAGACAAAUUUGAUGAUUCUUCACUUUCUGGAAAGUAAACUUAAUACCAGAGGUUGAAAAUGUUCCUGCAAGACUGGUUAAGACACCUUGCUGUAACCAUAUGUGUUGAGCUCACACAGAAGACCUGACAAGCUUUACUCUUUGUGUUUGUUACAUUUUGUACUGCUCGGAUGUCUAGGAACUGAAAAUGCUAAAUUAUGAGGAAGUCUUCAGGUGUACUCAAUUAAUUGUAUACAUUGUAAAAUGUUUGAUGAUGAGAUUUUACAAUAUAUAUGUGAAGUGCAUCUGCAGAAUCCUCUUGCUUUA